CUGGGGGGGGGCACAAGGGGUUGGGGGGGACACAGCCGGGACAGCUGACCCCAACUGACCAGAGGGGUAUCCCAGACCGUAGGACGUCAUGAUCAGUAAUACAGAGACUGGGGGA